rnacentral:rRNA from 1 species
AACGAACGCUGGCGGCAGGCUUAACACAUGCAAGUCGAACGCAUCCUUCGGGGUGAGUGGCAGACGGGUGAGUAACGCGUGGGAACGUGCCCUUCAGUUCGGGAUAACCCAGGGAAACUUGGGCUAAUACCGGAUACGUGCGAGAGCAGAAAGGUUUAUCGCUGAAGGAUCGGCCCGCGUCUGAUUAGCUAGUUGGUGGGGUAAUGGCCCACCAAGGCGACGAUCAGUAGCUGGUCUGAGAGGAUGAUCAGCCACAUUGGGACUGAGACACGGCCCAAACUCCUACGGGAGGCAGCAGUGGGGAAUAUUGGACAAUGGGCGCAAGCCUGAUCCAGCCAUGCCGCGUGAGUGAUGAAGGCCUUAGGGUUGUAAAGCUCUUUCGUCCGGGACGAUAAUGACGGUACCGGAAGAAGAAGCCCCGGCUAACUUCGUGCCAGCCGCCGCUGUAAUAC